GGAAAGUUACUCAAGUGGUAAAGAGGGCAGUUUGCUAAACUGUUAGUGCAAUUAAAUUGCAGCAAGAGUUCGAAUCUCUUACUUUCCGCCA
rnacentral:tRNA from 1 species